UACGGGGGGGGCAAGCGUUGUUCGGAAUUACUGGGCGUAAAGGGCGCGUAGGCGGCCUGCUAAGUCGGAUGUGAAAUCCCUCGGCUCAACCGAGGAACUGCAUCCGAUACUGGCGGGCUUGAAUCCGGGAGAGGGAUGUGGAAUUCCAGGUGUAGCGGUGAAAUGCGUAGAUAUCUGGAGGAACACCGGUGGCGAAGGCGGCAUCCUGGACCGGUAUUGACGCUGAGGCGCGAAAGCGAGGGGAGCAAACGGG
rnacentral:rRNA from 1 species